rnacentral:tRNA from 1 species
GGAGAGGUACUCAAGAGGCUCAAGAGGCUUCCCUGCUAAGGAAGUAGGACGCAUUGUGCGUUGCGUGGGUUCGAAUCCCACCCUCUCCA